AGUCUAAAGUUUUCAUUUUAGGUAAAACCUGCCCAGUGCUCAAAAUAUAAGAAGUAAAUGGCCGCAGUACCCUGACUGUGCUAAGGUAGCGUAAUCAGUUGGCUUUUAAAUGGAGUCGUGUAUGAAAGGAUUCAUGGGGCGGAGCUGUCUCUUAAGGGUUCAUUUGAAUUUAAUUAAAAGGUGAAAAUGCCUUUUCAAUAAUAUAGGACGAUAAGACCCUAGGAGUUUUACUAAAAGGGUUAGUUUUGAUUAAACCUUCCGGUUUUGCUGGGGCGGCAUAGGGGCAAAAAUUGAACCCCCUUACUAAUAAUUAGCCGAAAAUUUUAAGAUUAAAUAAACUACCCUAGGGAUAACAGCAUAAUUUUUAAGAAAGUUUGUGACCUCGAUGUUGGACUAGGAAUUAAUUAGGCUAGCCGCUUAAAUUUAUUGUUCUGUUCGAACUACUUUUCC
rnacentral:rRNA from 1 species